ensembl:snRNA U6 U6 spliceosomal RNA
GUGCUUGCUUUGGCAGUACAUAUACUAAAAUUGGAAUGAUACAGAGAAGAUUAGUAUGCUAGUAGCCUCUGUGCAGGAAUGACAUGUAAAUAUGUAAAGCAUUCCAUAUCUAA